AGAAGGAUCAACAUUCAGUGUAUCUUUGGAGGUGGAAGAGACAUUUCCCAACUGCUGCAGUGUGUCUGGGGCUGCUGUGUGUUCUCCUACUGGCUUGGAUCAUAGGCCUGUUACUCUACCAGAGAAACCAAUUGACCAGUUCAACAACCUGACCAAAGAGAGAGACCAGCUACAGACCAGUUACAACACCUGACCAAAGAGAGAGACCAGCUACAGACCAGUUACAACACCCUGACCAAAGAGAGAGACCAGCUACAGACCAGUUUCAACAACCUGACCAAAGAGAGAGACCAGAUACAGACCAGCUACAACACCCCGACCAAAGUGAGAGACCAGCUACAGACCAGCUACAACACCCUGACCAAAGAGAGAGACCAGCUACAGACUAGCAACAACAUGCUGACCAAAGAGAGAGACCAGCUACAGACCAGCUACAACACCCUGACCAA